AUUGAACGCUGGCGGCAGGCCUAACACAUGCAAGUCGAACGAGAGGCGGACGGGUGAGUAAUGUCUGGGAAACUGCCUGAUGGAGGGGGAUAACUACUGGAAACGGUAGCUAAUACCGCAUACCAUCAGAUGUGCCCAGAUGGGAUGUGCUUGUUGGUGGGGUAACGGAUCACCAAGGCGACGAUCCCGAGCUGGUCUGAGAGGAGGAUGAGCCACACGGGACAUGAGACACGGUCCAGACUCCUACGGGAGGCAGCAGUGGGGAAUAUUGCACAAUGGGCGAAAGCCUGAUGCAGCAAUGCCGCGUGUAUGAAGAAGGCCUGCGGGUUGUAAAGUACUUUCAGCGGGGAGGCGUUACCCGCAGAAGAAGCACCGGCUAACUCCGUGCCAGCAGCCGCGGUAAUAC
rnacentral:rRNA from 1 species